UCAAGCCUGUAAUCCCAGCACUUUGGGAGGCCGAGACGGGCGGAUCACGAGGUCAGGUGAUCCACCCACCUCGGCCUCCCAAAGUGCUGGGAUUACAGGUGUGA
rnacentral:pre_miRNA from 1 species